AAACAAAACAUCAUUUUGAAGGAUAAUACGGAGUCAAGUCAGAAUGAGUUUUACUUCAAAAUAUUCAAGAAUUCUAUCUAUCAUUCAAGAGGGAUUGUACCAGCCUGUUUGUACUGAGGAAGAUGCCUCCCUCCGUUCUCUUCACAUGAAAGCAAGCAACAUGGGAGAGGAUCAUCUGUUUACAUAACGAAUAAAAGAAGGUGCACAGUCUGGACUCAAAAAGUGAAGACAAAUCAUGAAAGACAUAUAACAUGUCUAAACAAGAAAAAGGACAGAGGUCAGGAAGACCCAUGUCCUGUAUUUAACUGGUGCUUUGUGUUCCUUCCUCUCUAAGCAGAGAGGCCUUUACACAUGCUAUACCAUCUGAAGUCCUUCACUUCUUCUUUCCAACACUGUGUCAGUUUUGCUUGUAAAGCCCCACCACGAAAUCACCCUUUUCAAUGUAACUUAUGAUUAUUGUCUCCAAUUCCUUCUGUAAACUAAUAUACGAAAGCUUCCAUAAAGAAACAAGUUGUACAGCCCUGGCAGCUCAGUGCUGCGGACAUUACUAGGAAUGAAUUGAAGAAAACAGAGAAAACGUGAAUGGUUUCAGACUCAACAGCCCUAAUUAACAAUGUUUGAAAGGGACGUUAACUCAAAUAUUAAAAAUAAUCCACUCAUAUACAAAUCUUUGGUGAUUGCCAUUAAUCAGCAAAGAACGCAUAAGCUUUCAGAAGGGCUUGUGUUAUCCUGCAAGAUAGUAGCAGAAUCGUGGGCAAGAAAAUGAACCUGAGAGAAGUACGGGCCCUUCUCGAGACGCUGCAAUGGCAUUCUCACACCACAGCACACGCAAAAGAAUAAUUGAACAACACAUUAAAAAAGACUCAGAAGACUGCAAAUAUUACUGUAAGUUACCAUAAGAGAAAGUAAAACUUCAACAUUUGUUCUUUCAUCUCACCAUUCUUUAAAACAACCUGCAAGACAACAGCAGAGUUACAGACUGUCCCAAGUUGGAAGAGACUCAUAAGGCUCAUCGAGGCCAUCUUCGGGCUCCACACAGCAUGACUGAUUAAAAAGUAAAAUAAAGAACAGAAAUCAGAAAAAUCAUGUCAAUAUGAAAACUCAUUAAUUAAGUUGUAAGAUAGCAUUUGGCAAUGAGAACGAGUUCAAUUACAUCAACCACAGAACCAAGAAGGAGGAUAAAGAAGAAUUUUGUACUUACUUAAAAAAAACACUGAAGACAAGCAAAGCACCUUAUCUUCUUUGUCGUUUAGGAUUUGAAUCUGCUAAAAUUUAAUUUACAUCCUGUCUGAUUUAUAUUCUGGAGUAGUUGUUAAUCAGACAAAGCUGUUCCUCUUUCUAUGAGAGCUGAGAAUAGGGCCUAGGUGUCCCCGGUGGAUGCUCAAACUAUAGAUUCAUUUUCAUUUUCUGCCUGACGCUCUAAAUAUUUGAACAACUUGAGCAAGAGUGCAGAGAGAGAGGCACCCUAGAAUACUAAUUGCCUUUGAACAUUCGUUACAAAUUGGUCAGUUGUUUGGGAAUUCAUUUAGAAAGCAUGAAAGGUGGAUGUUUAAGUCAUUCAUUAAUAAGGAAGGUGAGAGAGGAAGCUGGCUUCCACACUGAAGAGGUUUUUUUUUUUUUUGCUAAUCUAAAAACCUAAAGUUGUACCUAAAUGCGGAACUUACUGAAUAUAACCUAAAAAAGAAUUUUGGAACAUGCAAACUGUGAGAAAGGGCAGCAUGUAUAAGAAAAAAGAAUUAAAUUGUAUGUAGAUCCUGAUCUUUAUGAACAAACAUUUGAGAUGUAGUCACGUAUGCAUACACAAACGUGCUGUAAUUUCGAUGCAGUAAGUAGACUUUCAUUCAGAAAACAAAGUCCAUAUCACAUAGAAGCAAAGGCUAGAAUUAAAUAAGAGGAGAAACAAAAAACUUGAUAUUGACAAAAGGGAAAAAUUUUAAGUUACUCAAGUAAUACAAGCCUCAAGUUGGCAUUAUUCUGUACAGUCUUGCAACUCUUCAUUAGCUACAUUCAUUUUUGAAAAUGCUAACAUUAGACUCUUAAGGUCUUGUUGCAGUGCUCAAUGCAGAUGAGCUGCUCUGUUUGCACUCUAAUCUGACCAAAAAAACUGUUCAGUGCUGAAUGCAGUUUUACAGGACGGAUCUCAAGAGAGUGGAGAAAAGUGUGACGACCAUGUCCCUUAUCCUGACAGCCACUCUUCUUACAACACAACCUGAGAUAUAGUUGACUUUCUGGGAUGCAAGCACAUAUGGCAGGGUUCACUUUCAUAGACGGAACAUCAGAAAAGGUCUAAAGCAGAUCAUACGGGCCAAGCUUGAUACAGUUAAAUUCUCAGAAGCUUAAGCAAGCCUAAAGAUGCUCAGUGUUCCUCACAUGGCUAUUUUUGAUGACUUUUUUCACCAAUAUCAGCACUUCUAAUUUUGACCAAUUUAGCUAUUACUACAUUUUAUCUCCAUCAGAAAAGAUAGAAAGAAACUGUUGCAGCACCGAUGAAGACGGAGUAAAUUCAGUCCUAAGAAGAUAAAAACAUGCAUAGGUACUAAUUCCAGUUAUAUAGCAGUUCAGAGGUCUUCUCUGUGCUCCUUGUGAUUAACCUGUCUAGUGAUACAGGUUUAGGCAGCCGGUCCAUGUACUUUAUCUUCUGAGAACUAUGAGAACACCCAGUGAGUCCCAGCACACCACUUAAAAUUACCUGCAACAGCCUGCUUCUGUCAGAGGUUGGAAGCCCGGCCAGCAUGACCACAUUUCCUCUAUUUUCUUUCUGUCAGUCACAGGCCUUCCCUGCCAGAGUCCAGAACACUUCCAAGUAAUAAGAGAAGAGUGGAGAUCAUUUCAUCAACUUCUGCACAGAUUUCAAGAUGAUCCAUUGUGUAUUUUGCACUUCCAAGUAAAACACGGACUAAGAGUAAGGAAGGAUUAACCAUACAAAACAUUUAAUGGACAUUUUCACCCCGUCACUGAGAGUUUAGCAUGUAGAUCACUGAAAUCUAUUUUUACAUUUCAUGCAUAGAACAAAAAAAUUGUUAAUUUUUAAUUUAAAAAUUAAAUUCCAAUGAGAUUAUUUACUCUUGAAUCUUAUUCAUUGUGGGAUAAUAAUUAAAAGGGAUCACGUGUAAUGGGUUUUCUACUGAAUAUUAAAUAUUGCUGUCCUAAUUUUUCUAUUAUGUAUUGCCAUCGAGCCAGUGGUGCUCUACAGGAGUUAGAGAUAAAGUUGCUUUGGAUUGGAUAAAACAAAAACUCAAUAGUUUUAAAACAGAAUAUGAGAUAUCUUGUCCUGAUGUAAUUAAAAUUUACCUACUAAAGAAGCUGAAAGAAAUAAACAGGAACAUAUUUUUCUAUUUCAUUUCAAACGCAUGGGCCAAAGCUACGCACUGGCUGGGAAGGCUGGAAUCGGAGUACUGAGAGAGCUAAAUGAAUUUUGUUUAUUCAUUAAAACCCAACAGUCAAGACGCAAACAGAGCAUCGUCUGCAAAAUUACUGUUAAUGGAAGGAUCGGCAUUAAAAUCCAUCAUUUCCUUGAGACUACUCUCAUGAAAAAAGAUCCGCUAGAUUGCAUUACUGAUUGUUCUCCUUAUUCCUUUCUCAUCUAGCUGUGUUACAAUCACACUGAUUGCAAUGGCAGUUGAUGUAGAUUCAUAAAAAACCCAAGAAGGUACAUAUACAUAAAACAAAUAGUUGUCCAGAAUGUUAUAGACUGAUAUAGCCUUCUUUUCAAAAGCUUUUGGAAUUACACACAUUCUCCUGAAGACUCGCAACAAACACAGUGACUGUGAAACGCUCAUUUAAAUUGUGCCAUAAUCCUGCCUGAGGAAUUCAAAGUGUUCAAACCACUUAGAGCGCACAAAAACAAGGGAACUGCUGCUGUGCUGUAUGCGUGUGAUUUCACAUUUAGGAAAAAGAUCAGCAUCAAGACAGUCUCACUUCUGGAAUGUGAUUUUUCUAAUGCUUCUAAUUUUUGUGCAUGGGAGAAGAUGGGAAGAAAAUCAAAGUGUUUAUAAGGCAAAGGAAAAUAAAAUGAAAACUUACUUAGCAUCAAUACCUACAAACAAAAAGGUUAUUUUUAAAUCUGCAGGACUAAAUGAUCACUCCCACGAUAUAAUGAAAUCCAGAAAAUAUAUUAAAAACCUAGAGAAGGAAUUAGCUGUGAAUGUAGUGAAAGCUGAAGAAGAUGCCUUGAACACCUUAGCAAAUAGUUUCAAGUCAGAAGAAACUUACUUUAUUUAACGGAGGAAACAUACAAUUAUUUUCAGUUCUCUCCUUCCAUUGUAUUAAACAAUAACAACAAAAUUGCCGUGGACUGUAUUAAGUUGUCAGUGAAUGACAAACUUUACUUAGCUUAGAUUUACUGACUCAUAUUAGAUCCCAUAUCCUUCUCUUUCUCCAUAAAACUGGCAGGCCUACUCUGACAGUAGGCUAUGUUAGGUGUAUGCAUUAUUAUGCAGUUGCCUUUUUUAAGUUUCGUUUUUGCUGUCGGGAAAAAUAUUCAUGCAAAGUCUUGUGUCAGAGAUAAGUUUGAUUUUCCCUGCAUCCAGGUUCACUGUUCACUACACACAGCAUCACAGAGAAUCGGCUGCUGGUGUAUGUAAUUACAAUCAUGCACAACAGAUAUGCCAUGACACCAAUAGUGAGGCAUACAAUUUUGCUUGUUUCUUUACCAUAUUAAUAUGGAAGUCAUUGGCAAUCAAACGGAAGACAAAUGACUCGAAAUGAAAGCAGGUCAUCGAGAGACAAAUCCAUUUACUAGAAUUUAACAAAAUACUACUAAAAAAAGAAAAAGUAUUCUAAGAAAAAAGACACUCGUUAAUUUAGAAUUUAUCUCGCAAAGAUGAAAGGAUAUAAGAUUGAAACACUGUUUAGCAAUUAAACUUUAAGUUUUUUAAUAUAAUACUUUUAAAUUACUUAAAAUGCUUCACAAUAGAUCAAAAACAACAAUACCAUUUAUUAUUACCUUCUCACAAAAAAUAAAAAAUAAAUUUCUUCAAGCAAAAUACAAUUAGUCGAGUGAACUGAUUUUUUUAGUUAAACGCUAUCCACCUUGGACAAGUAAGGACUAGUAGUCUCCUAUCUUGGCUAAAUAUUCACAAACCAGACCUUUGUAACAGGAUGAUCUAUCUUCCAAGAACAAGAACGGCAGUCUUCUCUAUAUGGGAUAAAUAAUGGCUCUUCACAUUCGUUCACACUUGCUAUUUUCAGUCAGAAAUUCAGACUUUCCCAACAUCUUUAGAUUUCAGUGAGAAGUACUACUGACAGAUGUUGGAGACAUCACACAAUUUCAGACCGCCUGGAUUGUUAGUUACUGUUUGACAACUUUUAAGCCAAAAUGUUCAUCUGCUGAUGGUACUCAGAUAUGCACGAACAGGUUUCUCUGUCAACAACACACUAAAUUCAAAUCCUUAUUUUUGUUUUUCACAAAGAUCUUUGUG